GUGCGGCUUCCUCUCAUACCCUCGCGCCCACCACACUCUCAACACACGGUCACUUCUCUCGUGCGGCCCCAGCCCCCUCACCCUCUCCAGCCCCCUCGCUCCACCGUUGCCGCUAGGGGAAGACACCCCGACAGCACUCGGAUAUCGCGCGCGGGACAUGGGGUCCCAGGCCGAGCGUGACCGGCAGCCUCCGCGCGCCGUGCUCAUCUGCAUACGCCACGCCCUUGCCGGGGUCGUCCCCGGCGCUCCGGUCUCUCCCGCUCCCGGACCGGGGACCUACCGACGGCGUGGGACAGGCCUGGGUGUCUCCGGGGCUGGUUGGGCGCAAGUGGGCGCGCGGCCGGGAGUCUGGGACCUGAAAGGGAGGCCUGAGAGGACGAGAGAGUGCCAGAGAGAGAGAGAGAGACAGUGACAGAGAGAAGAGAGAGACAGAAAGACAGUGACAGAGAGAAGAGAGAGAGAGAGACAGGAGAGAGGGGAGAGAGAAGACAGAGAGAGAGAGAGAGAGAGAGAGACAGUGACAGAGGGAAGAUAGAGAGAGAGAGAAGGAAGAAAAGAGGGGGAGAGAGAGCGAGCGAGCGAGCGAGCGAGCGAAAGAGAGUUUGCGGCCCCACCGCCCAGUCCCCAAGGGAUCUAGCGUCUGGGCCGGGCAGGGCUCGGGUUUGGGCUCACCUUCCUUUCAGCAAAAAGCAAGUUUCGGCCCCUUCUCUUCUCGCCAGCCCAACAGAAGUCUUCCCCACAGGGCACAACUAUUAUGAGGAUCAACACACCCAGCUAAAACAGCUCAACUUCCUCAUCACACAACACAGUUCUGGCCAGUUAGACACACGUCCCCGGAAAGGGCAUCUCCAGGAGAAUAAAAAGGCCAAGCCACUUUUUGAAGAAAGUCUUUGUCCCUACCCCCUUUUUCUACCUGGAAGUCAGACUCAGGCCUGGAGUGUAGCGGCCGCCUUGGUACCUGGAAGCAACAAUCAUGGCCGGGAGACCUUACACCUGGCAUGGUAGAGCAGACGGAGGAGGGGCCGCCUGGUGAAUAGCCUGGCCAACAGCCCCAAACUGCUACCCCUUAAAUUCUGGGUAGGUGAGAAAAAUAAGUCCUGUCUAAGCUGCUCAUUGUUUUAGUUACCUGUAGCCAAAGUUAAAUCCUGCCUAAAAGGGUUCUCCCCUCAUUUUUAUAUUACAUGCCAUUUUUUAUUUUAUUUUAUUUUAUUUUAUUUUAUUUUAUUUUAUUUAUUUAGAGACAGAGUUUCGCUCUUGUUGCCCAGCCUGGAAUGCAAUGGCGCGAUCUUGGCUCACUACAGCCUCUGCCUCCCAGGUUCAAGUGAUUCUCCUGCCUCAGCCUCCCGAGUAGCUGGGAUUACACGCACCCGCCACCACGCCCAGCUAAUUCUUUUUUUUUUUUUGAGCCGGAGUCUCGCUCUGUCGUCCAGGUUGGAGUGCAGUGGCGCAAUCUCAGCUCACUGCAAGCUCCACCUCCCGGGUUCACGCCAUCC
rnacentral:lncRNA from 10 species